rnacentral:lncRNA from 1 species
CAGGGACCAGUGUGACAGGUAAACUGGCAACAUCUCCAUCUUCCCAAACAGGAAAAGGGAGCAGCAGCAAAUAAAAGCCACCUCGGUGCAUCUCCAGCCCUGCAGAUGGACGGCCAUGCCUGUUGCAGAGGACAGCCAGCAGGCUUUUUAAGAUCUUCAUAGAAGUAAACAAUACCCGGCCAUUAGUACCACCCCAGGAGAUAAAGCUAGUUCUCCUGUGGGAAGGUGGACACAGACAAGAAGGUGG